CUACGGGAUGCUGCAGUAAGGAAUAUUGCGCAAUGGAGGCAACUCUGACGCAGCCAUGCCGCGUGCAGGAAGAAGGCCUUAUGGGUCGUAAACUGCUUUUAUUUAGGAAUAAACCCCCGAACGUGUUCGGGGCUGAAGGUACUAAACGAAUAAGCACCGGCUAACUCCGUGCCAGCGAGCCGCGGUAAUACGGAGGGUGCAAGCGUUAUCCGGAUUUAUUGGGUUUAAAGGGUGCGCAGGCGGGCUAUUAAGUCAGUGGUGAAAUCCCGGGGCUCAACUCCGGAACUGCCAUUGAUACUGAUAGUCUUGAGUUUGGUUGAAGUGGGCGGAGUGUAGCAUGUAGCGGUGAAAUGCAUAGAUAUGCUACAGAACACCAAUCGCGAAGGCAGCUCACUAAGCCAAAACUGACGCUCAUGCACGAAAGCGUGGGGAUCAAACAGGAUUAGAUACCCCGGUAGUC
rnacentral:rRNA from 1 species